AUAAUGAAAACUUUUGCUCAUAUGUCUCAUGAAUGCUUCUAUUUUCAAGGUCAACUAAACCAUUUUUUGCUUUCAGGAAAGACAAAUGCACUUUUCUUCAAGCGAUAUACCGUAAAAUGUUUCCACGAGAUUAUCCCAUCUGUGCGCGGCAGCCGGCUGGCUCUGGCCAGUGUGUACAGCAAAUGCUUGCCGGGGGCACUGUUCAGACAUCUCACUUUGACCUAGAAAUGAGGGAGGACGCUGGGAAGAGAGCCACGCCUGUGGUCUGAACUUCUGGCACCAGGUUUUCCAGUUGCUUCUGUGGCUGCAGGGUCUUACCUACUAUCCCUGGCUGGCAAAGAACUUGCUACGAUGGUAAGGCUGGCCUGCAGCUCACGGAGAUCCAGCUGCCUCUGUACCCUGAGUGCUAGGAUCAGAGGCAUUGAAGAGGAUCCAGAGGCAGGACAUGGCACAGCUUCCUGUUCCAGGCUAGGAUGACUCUACAGAGACCCUGGUCCCAUUCAUUCUAGACAGAGGACCAGGCAGUCGCCGCCAGACAAAGACUGAAAUUAAGGCUUCCUUCU